rnacentral:rRNA from 1 species
UGGGGAAUAUUGGACAAUGGGCGCAAGCCUGAUCCAGCCAUGCCGCGUGAGUGAUGAAGGCCUUAGGGUUGUAAAGCUCUUUCACCGGUGAAGAUAAUGACGGUAACCGGAGAAGAAGCCCCGGCUAACUUC